UAGAGGGCGAUAAAUUGUACAAUACCUGUACUAUUUGGGGUCCCGAUGGAACUUUGAUAGCAAAACACCGAAAGGUACAUCUAUUCGACAUCGACAUUCCUAAUAAGAUUACUUUUCGAGAGAGUGAUUCACUCAGUCCUGGUAACUCCCUAACGACGUUCGAUGUGAAGGGCUGCAAAAUAGGUAUUGGCAUUUGCUAUGAUAUUAGAUUCGAGGAAAUGGCACGCAUUUAUCGGAACAAAGGUUGCCAAAUGCUGAUAUAUCCAGCGGCAUUCAAUAUGACCACUGGACCACUGCACUGGUCAUUACUUCAGCGUUUCAGAGCGAAUGAUAAUCAAUUAUACGUUGCCUGCAUAUCACCGGCUCGUGUUCCUUAAGCAAGUUACGUCGCAUGGGGACAUACACAGUUGACCAAUCCCUGGGGAAAGAUUCUUUACGAUUUGGAAACUCAAGAGAAUAUGGCAGUCACCGAUAUCAAAAAAAAAAAAAAAAAAAAAAAAAAAAAAAAAAAAAAAAAAAAAAAAAAAAAAAACUGGCGAACCGUGUGUUACCACAACGAGACACGCGAUGCUAUUUGUCGCUUUAAAUUGUGCCGCAACUCGUUUUUGAGAUCUUUGCCGGGGGCGCGUUAAAACAUGCUGAAAAUAUAUUUCUGGCUUUUCUGGGGUUUAACUGAAAUAUGACAAAUAACGUUGUAAAACAUAUGUACUUAUGACUUACAGAGUAAUUGAGUGUACAAAAUAUAUAGUAUACAAAAUAGCCAGCGAUUUAGGGCUUUAAAAGAUCAAAAGGAAAGA